rnacentral:rRNA from 1 species
AGCGAACGUUAGCGGCGGGCUUAACACAUGCAAGUCGAGCGAGAAAGUGGCUUCGGCCAUCAGUAAAGCGGCGGACGGGUGAGUAACACGUAGGUAAUCUUCCCUUGAGCGGGGGACAACGUUUCGAAAGGAACGCUAAUACCGCAUACGUUCUGAAGGCCUCGGCCUUUGGAAGGAAAGCUAGGUCGCAAGGCCCGGCACUCGAGGAGGAGCCUGCGUCGCAUCAGCUAGUUGGUGAGGUAACGGCUCACCAAGGCGAAGACGCGUAGCUGGUCUGAGAGGAUGAUCAGCCACACUGGGACUGAGACACGGCCCAGACUCCUACGGGAGGCUG